rnacentral:rRNA from 1 species
ACUUGGAGAACUCGUAUCAACCUUUUAAAAUUUUAGUGCCAUCUCGGAAGCUAAGCAGGGUCGGGCCUGGUUAGUACUUGGAUGGGAGACCACCUAGGAAGACCAGGUGCUGUAGGCA